AUGGUUGAAGCCUUGGCACUCAAAUUCGGUCUAUCAUUGGUGCAAAGGUCAAGAUGCAAUCACCUUAUUAUUAACUCAGACGUGAUUGAUACCAUGAAGGAUGGAGGACGGUCGGCGGGUGCAGCAGCGGCAAUUUUCGGUGAUUGUUUUCACUAUGCUUGUGAUUUUAUUAUUACUAGGUUCGAACAUUGUAACAUAGAAGCAAAUAAAGUUGCUCAUGAGCUUUCUAAAUCAGCUAGAUUUCUUUGA
rnacentral:rRNA from 1 species